rfam:Ixodes scapularis strain Wikel colony gcontig_1108379642608, whole genome shotgun sequence.
CCCUGGUUAGCUCAGUCGCUUGAGCGCUCCACCUGUAAUGGAGAGGUCCCGGGUUCGAUACCCGGACCAGGCG